rnacentral:ncRNA from 2 species
UUCUGGGAGGAUUGACAGAUUGAGAGCUCUUUCUUGUUUCGGUGGAUGGUGGCGCAUGUCCGUUUUUAGUCGGUGGAGCGAUUUUUCUGGUUAAUUCCGAUAACGAACGAGACUCUAAACUAGGUUACAAGUCAAGAAGGUAUCAAGUGCUCCU